ACAAGAAGUUAAUAUUUAGCAGCUUAUGUUUAGUCACAAUAUUUUCAGUUGACCUUUCUUUCUUUCUUUCUUUCUUUUCUUUCUUCUUUUUUAGAAAAUUCAAAACAAUGUCCAAGCAGAAUCAAGCAGAGCAUCCCUGAGCAACACACAAUCAUUUUUUGAAUGACUUGGUUGAGUAAAUUCAUAAUUCAGUGACUCAUAAAGCCAGUCACUUGUUGCCACCUACUGGUGUAAUGAUGUGACAUGCAGAAAGAGUCACUGUAAAAUUCCCACCACUGACACACAGUUCCCUUUCGAAAGCUUCAGUCGAUGCUGCGCUGCUCAGCGCAUUGGGAAACGUCUUGUUUGUGACCAGCUGUGAAUAAUGUGUGUAACACGUCGAUAGAAUUAACCCGGCGGUAAUAUAGCCUCAGUUGAUGACGUCAUCUGAGCGCGCCCGCAACACGGGGCUAUAAAUAGAUAAGCCACAGGUGCAUCAACAGGUCUUUUGUCUUCAGAUCAUUCUGUGCAUGUGUGUGUCAGGAAGAUUCUUUUCGUACGAUGACCCAACGAAACAGUAAGUGUUGUGUUCCUCCAUGCUCUCGUCCUAUGUAUGAGCUGGAUACGCAUGAUUACUGUUUUGUUUGUUUGGGGGAAGAACACGCGGUUCUGGCUUUAGAGACGGGCGAGUGCGAGCAUUGUGAACUGCUCUCAAUGAAGAUGCUUCGUGCUCGUCUGAACUAUUUUCAGACCGCACCCACCUUUUCGUCGGAGGGCUCUCGUGCGGGUCUGCGUGACGAGCGAGCGACGGGCCCGUCCCUUUCGCUUACAGUGUCACCAGAUCCACGCAUCCUCUCUCGUGAUCUCGAAGCUGUGCCCUCGAUGUUGACUUUUUCAACUAUCGUGGAUGCAAAGUCGCGGGGGUAUUCGGAGAUGCCUCGGGUUGAAGAGUCGCUUGCGAGCUAUCUCUCGCCUGAAUCUGCAUCCACGGUGAAGAAACCUACUCUCCCCACUAAACCUUGUAGAAUUACAUCAUCGCUAGUGGGUAAAGCUUACCAAGCUGCAGGUCAGGCUGGUGCUGCGUUGCACACUAUGGCAGUGUUACAGGCAUACCAGGCUGACCUGUUGAAGGACUUGAGUGUGGGCAGUACAAUCGACGAGGAAGCAUUCGCUGAGCUUCGUCGGGCCACAGAUUUGUCUCUCCGGGCGACCAAGCAGAAGGCUUUUAGACUCUCCUAUCUCUCCAUCUGGCCUGUUUGGCGAUUCGGUUAAUACGGUCGUCGACAGGUUUAGGGAAGUAAAGAAACAUGAAGAAGCGUUCGUUCAGUUUCUUCCUCGCCGCACUCAAUGGGAGUGGCCAUCAGCCACCCAGCCUCGCCCCGGUCCUUCAAAAACCAGGGAGGUUAAAAAGCAGAGCGUGGCAGACCGUGCUCCCCCUCGUAGGGAUUGGGGACAGGUUCGCCGUGCUCAGCAACCUCCCAAGCCAGACCUCAGGACUUUCAUUAAUAAUAAGAAGAAGUCCUGACGCUAUGGCGCCCGUGCUGGUGGGGGUAGUCCCUCAUGGGGUGGUGCGCGCUCGAGAGCUUUUCGCCCCGCCCCGUUACCCUCACAAAACCCCUCCAUCCCCGCCGCUUCUUGUGCCUCGGGAGGCGGGGGUUUCCAGCAAGAUAUUAGAUGUUCCAGUGCUUCCUGCCGUCAUUCAGGACACGGAACAUCUAACAUCCCCUCAAAAGGAAGUAUUGAAAUUGGUACCACUCUCAGAGAGUCUGGCAGCGUGGAAACUUCUGCAUUUCUGCAUGGGUGUUGAGCACAGUACGGAUAGGAUACAGGAUCCAAUUUAUUCGUCAUCCUCCACGUUUCAACGGCGUGGUCUCCACUUCCGUGAAACCGGAGCUGAUGCAGGUACUGUCUCAAGAGCUACAAACUCUUCUGGGCAAAGAGGCCAUAGAACAUGUUCCUCUUCCACAGAGAGAGUCGGGCUAUUACAGCAGAUACUUCCUAGUUCCCAAAAAGGGUGGGGGAGUGCGUCCAAUCUUGGAUCUUCGAGGCUUAAACCGUACAAUCAGAGCACUCAAGUUCAAGAUGUUAACCGUCAAGACGGUCGUGUCGCAAAUUCGGCAUCGCGAUUGGUUUAUCACGAUCGAUCUGAAGGACGCAUAUUUUCAUAUAGAGAUUUUGCCACAACACAGGAAAUUCCUGAGGUUCGCUUUCGGGGGCGAAGCAUACCAGUUUCGGGUUCUUCCUUUCGGCCUAGCCUUAUCACCCCGCACGUACACAAAAUGCAUGGAUGCAGCGCUGGCUCCAUUACGACUCCAGGGCAUUCGCAUUUUGAAUUAUAUCGACGAUUGGCUGAUACUAGCGCAAUCGCGAGAGAUGGCGCUACAACACAGGGACAUCGUGUUAGCUCAUCUAGUUUCUCUGGGGUUGAGACUCAACACCGAGAAGAGUGUUCUCUGUCCGACUCAGAGAACGACUUAUCUCGGGAUCGUUUGGGAUUCGAUCACGAUGCGGGCACAACUGUCUCCCGCUCGGAUCGAGACCAUUCAGCAGACCAUGAGCAAGGUCAGGCUAGGCCAGGAUCGCACUGUUCGUCAGUAUCAAAAGAUGUUAGGUUUCAUGGCUUCAGCAUCCACGGUGAUUCCUUUGGGGCUGUUGCACAUGAGACCGUUUCAGUUGUGGCUAAAAGCCAGAGGAUUUCAUCCGAGAGCCAAUCCUCAAAGGCAAAUAAAAGUGACGCGCCGCGGGCUUCGUACACUAUCUCUGUGGAUCAGACCCCGGUUCCUUGCCUUGGGUCCCACUCUAGGGGCACCGUGUCGUCGCAGACUGCUAACGACAGAUGCCUCCCUGUUGGGCUGGGGAGCAGUUUUGGAUGGCCACCCAGCUCAAGGGGAAUGGGGGGGUCGUCAGCUCGAUUGGCACAUCAAUUGCCUCGAGCUGAUGGCCGUAUUUCUGGCUCUGAAAUAUUUCCUCCAUCAUUUGAGAGACUGUCAUGUUCUAGUACGGGUGGACAACACAGCAACAGUCUCAUAUAUAAAUCACCAGGGGGGUCUGCGCUCACGCAAUCUGAACAAGAUAGCGAGGCAGAUUUUUCUUUGGGCCCAGGACAAGCUCCUGUCACUCAGGGCAGUUUACAUUCCGGGGCGUUUGAAUGUGGGAGCGGAUUUACUGUCCAGACAGACACUUCCGACAGGGGAAUGGAAACUCCACCCAGAGGUAGUGGAACAGAUUUGGGAAAAAUUUUACGAAGCAGAGGUGGACCUCUUCGCCUCCCUUCAGACAGCGCAAUGUCCCCUCUACUUCUCUCUGAGUCACCCAGCCCCCCUGGGUCUGGAUGCGAUGGCACACACAUGGCCCAGAAUGCGCCUGUAUGCAUUUCCUCCAGUUUCUCUGCUCCCGGGAGUCCUAGCCAGAGUUCGCCAACAAGGGUCUUGCCUCUUGCUGAUAGCGCCACGUUGGCCGAACAGGGUAUGGUUCUCGGAGAUAAUAUCUCUCCUCGACGGCUCGCCUUGGGCGAUUCCGGAGAGGAGGGACCUUCUGUCUCAGGCAGGGGGUACGAUAUUCCAUCCCAGGCCCGACCUGUGGAAUCUUCAUGUUUGGCCCCUGAAGGGUACCAGCUGAGGAACACAGGGCUGUCGCCGGGUGUUAUUGAUACCAUCCUUAGUGCUAGGGCUUCCUCCACCAGACGGAGUUAUGCCAGUAAAUGGGGUGUCUUUGACAGGUGGUGUGUGGUACACAAUGUAGAUCCGGUCAACUGCCAUAUUGCUUCAGUUCUGGACUUCAUGCAAGAGAAGUUGUCAACAGGCACAUGCCCUGCUACUCUUAAGGUUUAUGUGGCCGCUCUUUCGGCUUGCCACGCCUUGAUUGACGGGGUGCCACUCGGGAGACACCCUCUGCUCUCUCGCUUUCUUCGUGGGGCCAGACGACUGAGGCCUACAGUAAAGACCAAGAUGCCUUCUUGGGACUUAGCUAUAGUUCUCGAGGGUCUGGUUGAAACCCCCUUUGAACCUUUAGAGUCAGCGUCUGAUAGACUUCUAACUCUAAAAAUGGUUUUUCUCAUGGCAAUAACUUCUUUGAAGAGGAUUGGGGAUAUGCAGGCUCUGUCUAUCUCACCAUCAUGCUUAGACUUUGCCCCAGGGAGCGUGAAAGUGAUUCUGCAUCCUCAUCCUGAUUACCUGCCUAAGGUUCCGUUUUCGGCUGUACAUCCGGUCAUUCUAGAGGCCUUCUGUCCUCCGCCGUUCGCAACGCCGGAGCAGGAGAAAUCUUAUAGACUGUGUCCAGUCCGUGCUCUUCAGACUUACGUCCACCGCACUAGCCAGUGGCGUAAGUCGGAGCAACUGUUCGUCUGUUAUGGUGGUGGUAACAGAGGAGCAGCUGCCACCAGGCAGACCAUGUCUCACUGGGUCAGGGAUGCUAUUGCUUUGGCUUAUGAGGCGCGCGGUCAAGCUUCGCCUAUAGGUCUUAGAGCUCACUCCACAAGGGGGUCGCCUCCUCUAGUGCUUUAGCAAGGGGUGCCCCCUUACAACAGGUUUGUGAUGCGGCAGUUUGGUCCUCUCCGCACACAUUCAUAAGAUUUUAUAUUUUGG
ensembl:lncRNA